CCCAGAGCAGGAUGAUGGGAGGGGAAAUGUGGCCGGGCAUUGAGAGCUGACCACAGGCAGCUGCUGCCCAAGACUCCACCAUCGCCCACGUUCGACGGAACAGGCCUCCUCCCAUGCAGCAGAUGAGCGACACCACAACGUAUGCCAAGGUGACCCGCACCCAGACCCGAUAGCGCUGCCACAGGGGAAGGGCACAGGAGCCUUGCCCACAGCUGCCUUUGCUCUCUUGCAGAGGGCUUGUGCAGCCAUAACGUGGGGUUCGGGGCUGCACUUUGGUCUUUUUUUUUUUUUUUUUUUUUUUUUUUUUUUGUCACAGGGAAGGGCUGUGAGUGUCUAGCCAAGAUGAUGUAGGACUCACACUUCC
rnacentral:lncRNA from 1 species